rnacentral:rRNA from 1 species
AAUGUAUAGCAAUAGCUAAUUGCAUCAAUGUUUAAAUAAUUGAUGCAAUAUCGACUCUGUCGAAUAAAAUUCUAGGUAGAAUUAUGAUAAUGACAUUGUCUGCCUAUGUGUCUUGACCAAAUUACGUGCCAGCAGUCGCGGUAAUACGUAGAAGACUAGUGUUAUUCAUCUUUAAUAGGUUUAAAGGGUACCUAGACGGUAAAUCAAGCCUGUAAUAUGGGACUAAUCUACUAGAGUUACUUACGAGGGGGUAUUAAAGUACUGCUGGUGUAGAGAUGAAAUUCUGUCAUACCUCAUUUCAAAAGAAAUACUAUGGCACAGGUAUAGGCGAAAGCAUCCCCUUAUGUGAUAA